rnacentral:tRNA from 9 species
GCGGAAGUAGUUCAGUGGUAGAACACCACCUUGCCAAGGUGGGGUCGCGGGUUCGAAUCCCGUCUUCCGCUCCA